UUUUCCUACGGGAGGCAGCAGUGGGGAAUAUUGCACAAUGGGGGAAACCCUGAUGCAGCAACGCCGCGUGCAGGAAGAAGGUCUUCGGAUUGUAAACUGUUGUCGCAGGGGAAGAAGACAGUGACGGUACCCUGUGAGAAAGUCACGGCUAACUACGUGCCAGCAGCCGCGGUAAUACGUAGGUGACAAGCGUUGUCCGGAUUUACUGGGUGUAAAGGGCGCGUAGGCGGAUGUGCAAGUCAGUCGUGAAAUACCGGGGCUCAACCCCGGGGCUGGGAUUGAAACUGCACACAUUGAGUAUCGGA
rnacentral:rRNA from 1 species